AUCCUACGGGAGGCAGCAGUGGGGAAUAUUGCACAAUGGGGGAAACCCUGAUGCAGCGACGCCGCGUGAGUGAGGAAGUAUUUCGGUAUGUAAAGCUCUAUCAGCAGGGAAGAAAAUGACGGUACCUGACUAAGCAGCCCCGGCUAACUACGUGCCAGCAGCCGCGGUAAUACGUAGGGGGCAAGCGUUAUCCGGAUUUACUGGGUGUAAAGGGAGCGUAGACGGCUAAUCAAGUCAGAAGUGAAUACCCAGGGCUCAACUUUGGGUCUGCUUUU
rnacentral:rRNA from 1 species